GAUGAACGCUGGCGGCGUGCUUAACACAUGCAAGUCGAACGAAGCACUUUGGACGGAUUCUUCGGAUGAAGUCCUUAGUGACUGAGUGGCGGACGGGUGAGUAACGCGUGGGUAACCUGCCUCAUACAGGGGGAUAACAGUUAGAAAUGGCUGCUAAUACCGCAUAAGCGCACAGUACUGCAUGGUACAGUGUGAAAAACUCCGGUGGUAUGAGAUGGACCCGCGUUGGAUUAGCUAGUUGGCAGGGUAACGGCCUACCAAGGCGACGAUCCAUAGCCGGCCUGAGAGGGUGGACGGCCACAUUGGGACUGAGACACGGCCCAGACUCCUACGGGAGGCAGCAGUGGGGAAUAUUGCACAAUGGGGGAAACCCUGAUGCAGCGACGCCGCGUGAGCGAAGAAGUAUUUCGGUAUGUAAAGCUCUAUCAGCAGGGAAGAAAAUGACGGUACCUGACUAAGAAGCCCUGGCUAACUACGUGCCAGCCGCCGCCGUAACAC
rnacentral:rRNA from 1 species